rnacentral:rRNA from 1 species
ACGUAGGGGGCAAGCGUUAUCCGGAUUUACUGGGUGUAAAGGGAGCGUAGACGGGAAAGCAAGUCUGAAGUGAAAGGCAGGGGCUCAACCCCUGGACUGCUUUGGAAACUGUUUUUCUUGAGUGCCGGAGAGGUAAGCGGAAUUCCUAGUGUAGCGGUGAAAUGCGUAGAUAUUAGGAGGAACACCAGUGGCGAAGGCGGCUUACUGGACGGUAACUGACGUUGAGGCUCGAAAGCGUGGGGAGCAAACAGG